GGAAGUAAAUGUCGUAACAAGGUUUCCGUAGGUGAACCUGCGGAAGGAUCAUUAACAAAUCAUGAUGGUGGCUGUGUGUAUGUAUGUACGCAUGGCCCCAUAUACACCCAAACCCGCGCAGCGAUGCCGGGUGCGGUGCGCUCCCUCCCUUCCCUGCAAAGGUGAAGGGGACGUGGCGCGGCGAAGACUGGCGUCUGCGAGGACGCCGGUCCGACCCACAUAGACGCUUGUAUGUUUGACAGAGUUAGUUGACACUUUAAAAUGACAACUUUUAACAAUGGAUCUCUUGGCUCUU
rnacentral:misc_RNA from 1 species